UUGGUUAAGUUAGAAAGGGCGCACGGUGGAUGCCUUGGCACUAGGAGCCGAAGAAGGACGGGACUAACACCGAUAUGCUUUGGGGAGCUGUACGUAAGCGUUGAUCCAGAGAUUUCCGAAUGGGGGAACCCACUAUCUUUAGUCGGAUAGUAUCCUUACGUGAAUACAUAGCGUGAGGAAGGCAGACCCAGGGAACUGAAACAUCUAAGUACCUGGAGGAAGAGAAAGAAAAAUCGAUUUCCUGAGUAGCGGCGAGCGAAACGGAAAGAGCCCAAACCAAGAAGCUUGCUUCUUGGGGUUGUAGGACACUCUAUACGGAGUUACAAAAGAAAGUUAUAAAUGAAGCGGUCUGGAAAGGCCCGCCAAAGACGGUAACAGCCCGGUAGUUGAAAUAGCUUUCCCUCCAGAGUGGAUCCUGAGUACGGCGGAACACGUGAAAUUCCGUCGGAAUCCGGGAGGACCAUCUCCCAAGGCUAAAUACUCCCUAGUGACCGAUAGUGAACCAGUACCGUGAGGGAAAGGUGAAAAGCACCCCGGAAGGGGAGUGAAACAGUUCCUGAAACCGUGUGCCUACAAGUAGUUAGAGCCCGUUAAUGGGUGAUAGCGUGCCUUUUGUAGAAUGAACCGGCGAGUUACGAUUUGUUGCAAGGUUAAGCGGAAAAAGCGGAGCCGUAGCGAAAGCGAGUCUGAAUAGGGCGCAUAAGUAACAGGUCGUAGACCCGAAACCAGGUGAUCUACCCAUGUCCAGGAUGAAGGUAAGGUAAUACUUACUGGAGGUCCGAACCCACGCACGUUGAAAAGUGCGGGGAUGAGGUGUGGGUAGCGGAGAAAUUCCAAUCGAACUUGGAGAUAGCUGGUUCUCUCCGAAAUAGCUUUAGGGCUAGCCUCGAGGUAAAGAGUCAUGGAGGUAGAGCACUGUUUGGACUAGGGGCCCUUCUCGGGUUACCGAAUUCAGAUAAACUCCGAAUGCCAUGUACUUAUACUCGGGAGUCAGACUGCGAGUGAUAAGAUCCGUAGUCGAAAGGGAAACAGCCCAGACCACCAGUUAAGGUCCCCAAAUAUAUGUUAAGUGGAAAAGGAUGUGGGGUUGCUUAGACAACCAGGAUGUUGGCUUAGAAGCAGCCACCAUUGAAAGAGUGCGUAAUAGCUCACUGGUCGAGUGACCCCGCGCCGAAAAUGUACCGGGGCUAAACAUAUUACCGAAACUGUGGAUGAACCUCUUUAGAGGUUCGUGGUAGGAGAGCGUUCUAAGGGCGGUGAAGUCAGACCGGAAGGACUGGUGGAGCGCUUAGAAGUGAGAAUGCCGGUAUGAGUAGCGAAAGAAGGGUGAGAAUCCCUUCCACCGAAUAUCUAAGGUUUCCUGAGGAAGGCUCGUCCGCUCAGGGUUAGUCGGGACCUAAGCCGAGGCCGAU
rnacentral:rRNA from 1 species